rnacentral:rRNA from 1 species
AUUGAACGCUGGCGGCAUGCCUUACACAUGCAAGUCGAACGGCAGCGCGGACUUCGGUCUGGCGGCGAGUGGCGAACGGGUGAGUAAUACAUCGGAACGUACCCUGUUGUGGGGGAUAACUAGUCGAAAGAUUAGCUAAUACCGCAUACGACCUGAGGGUGCAAGUGGGGGACCGCAAGGCCUCACGCAGCAGGAGCGGCCGAUGCCUGGUUAGCUAGUUGGUGGGGUAAAGGCACACCAAGGCGACGAUCAGUAGCUAGUCUGAGAGGACGAUCAGCCACACUGGGACUGAGACACGGCCCAGACUCCUACGGGAGGCAGCAGUGGGGAAUUUUGGACAAUGGGGGCAACCCUGAUCCAGCAAUGCCGCGUGUGUGAAGAAGGCCUUCGGGUUGUAAAGCACUUUUGUCCGGAAAGAAAACGCGCUGGUUAAUACCUGGCGUGGAUGACGGUACCGGAAGAAUAAGCACCGGCUAACUACGUG